UUGCUCUUUUCAGAAUUGAGUGGCAAACGGGUGAGUAACACGUAAACAACCUGCCUUCAGGAUGGGGACAACAGACGGAAACGACUGCUAAUACCGAAUAAGUUCCAAGAGCCGCAUGGCCCAUGGAAGAAAAGGUGGCCUCUACCUGUAAGCUAUCGCCUGAAGAGGGGUUUGCGUCUGAUUAGCCAGUUGGCGGGGUAACGGCCCACCAAAGCGACGAUCAGUAGCCGGCCUGAGAGGGUGAACGGCCACAUUGAAACUGAGAGACGGUCCAGACUCC
rnacentral:rRNA from 1 species